rnacentral:lncRNA from 1 species
CGCACUCUCACAGAUGUUAGCAUAAAAGAGCCUGUUUACUUGGUGAUUCGUAUUGUGAAAUAAAAGGUUCAGGUUUCAUCUGCUUCGGGAAGAAGGGUUAUUUUCCCCCACGGUGCGGUCUGUGCUGUGGCACUGAGAAUGAACCGUGCUGACCGGCUUCCCUGAUGCCUCUCUCAGCAAGACAUGUGGGUAAAUGGCCCAAUCCUCAGUAGACUGAGGUUCAUAGAGCGUGUGUGGGAUGAGCCUCGGAUGGGACCGGAAGAGCAGAGUGGACCGAUGCGUGGCUCUUCUGCCCCGGGUCCGGGGAAAAGGGUGAGCAUUCUGGACCCCAGAGACGUGCUGCUUCUCUAAAGCCUCGGUUGACAAGGGCAAACACCACCUAACCCCUUAAUCCAGUCUCUAGAAACAACGAGAUCAUCUGCCACCAUUAUUUAAAAUGCACAGAAACCCAAACCAACAGACAAGCCUUAACCCCUUACUUCUUGCAGGCAUUGUGCUCUGCAAGGGAUAAAAUAAACCUCUGAAGCAACAGCUCACAGGAACUGGAAGAGAGCCACACGUGGUCUCGGGGAUGCCUGGGACACGAGCUGAGCUUUCAAAGCCCAGUAUUCUGUUGCUUGUGAUAGAAGACCAAAAUGUAGCCCAUCAGAGUGUGGCCCUUCUCCGUCAAUUCUGCACAAACAAAAAUGAGUUAUAAAAAAGAAUCCCGGAAGAAUGAUUUCCAUUUCAAACACCUGAGAGCACAGACAUUUGGUGGACACAUCAAUCAUUGGUCUAUUGGUGAUAGCGGAAGACCUGGGAGCUUCAGGCCUUGGACGGGGACUGGCAAGAGGAAUAGGGAGAAGACAGAUUCAGAGGAAAGCAUGCACCCGAGGAGCGUGGGGCAGACAGAAGAAUAUCCUGGGGAAACCAAGCAUCUCUGAACCUAGCCUACCUCCGGUUUGGGCUGUGCUCCCUCCUACAUACGGUCCUGUGAUUAACCAAGUCUAUCAUGUGAAAGGGGUAGAGCUUCUGUAGACACGGUGACCACAGGCUUUUAAUGAAAACCCCCUUGUGAUAAAACCACAGUCAUAUGCAACAAAUUAAGUCGUAGCAAGGCAUUGGAAAAGAUGUUUUCAGCGAUGAAAAUAUUACUAUUAGGAAGACCAUGUAAUUUGUCAUUCAGAUGAAGACCCAAAAAGGCUACCACUUAUAUCAAGAUGGCUCGACAUACAGAUGAACUGCGUUAUCCU